rnacentral:rRNA from 1 species
UACGUAGGGUGCAAGCGUUAAUCGGAAUUAUUGGGCGUAAAGCGCGUGUAGGCGGCUUAGCAAGUCGGGUGUGAAAGCCCUCAGCUUAACUGAGGAAGUGCGCCCGAAACUGCAAAGCUUGAGUACCGGAGAGGAUGGCGGAAUUCCCCAAGUAGAGGUGAAAUUCGUAGAUAUGGGGAGGAACACCGGUGGCGAAGGCGGCCAUCUGGACGGAUACUGACGCUGAGACGCGAAAGCGUGGGGAGCAAACAGG